UGUAGCUUCUUUCAAAGGUAGGAAGCCCGUCUGAUACGCGGGUAAUGACAGUUCGAUUCUGUCAGCUACAACCA
rnacentral:tRNA from 1 species